rnacentral:misc_RNA from 1 species
AACAGAUAUGCUGACCCUGGAUUUGGUAGACAAAAAAUUAGUCAUGGAAGAGAAACAUGAAGAUGUAAAUCCAGUUCAGUGCUUGUGGCUUAAACAUAAAACUACUAAAAAGGACUAUCUCAAUUGCAAGCAUUGUUGUACAAACUGAGACCUGUACAGCAGCAAAUGAAUCAUUAUUGCCUAGAGGCUAAGUUUCAGUAAGUUUUAUUUGCUUGCAAAUACUAGCACAUCAAUUCUAUCUAAUUUAAAUAACUACCAUUUCUACUAAAAUAUAUGGCUAAAGAGAUGCUUAACCUUCUAUCUGAUUAAAACAGCCUUCUCCAAGUAUGAAGAGAAGCCUCAAAAAAUAAAUAUAAAAAUGAGGUGAGUACUCGUAUUGGAGCAUAUGUUACUUCUGACAUUACCGCCACAUCCAAUAAAUGAGUUAAAAAUA